rnacentral:rRNA from 1 species
CAGUCGCCACGGUAAUACGUAGGGUGCGAGCGUUAAUCGGAAUUACUGGGCGUAAAGCGUGCGCAGGCGGUUCGUUAAGACAGAUGUGAAAUCCCCGGGCUUAACCUGGGAACUGCAUUUGUGACUGGCGGGCUAGAGUAUGGCAGAGGGGGGUAGAAUUCCACGUGUAGCAGUGAAAUGCGUAGAGAUGUGGAGGAAUACCGAUGGCGAAGGCAGCCCCCUGGGCCAAUACUGACGCUCAUGCACGAAAACGUGGGGAGCAAACAGGAUUAGAUACCCGCGUAGUCCCUGUCUCUUAUAC